GAUGAACGCUGGCGGCGUGCCUAAUACAUGCAAGUCGAGCGAACGGACGAGAAGCUUGCUUUUCUGAUGUUAGCGGCGGACGGGUGAGUAACACGUGGAUAACCUACCUAUAAGACUGGGAUAACUUCGGGAAACCGAAGCUAAUACCGGAUAAUAUUUUGAACCGCAUGGUUCAAAAGUGAAAGACGGUCUUGCUGUCACUUAUAGAUGGAUCCGCGCUGCAUUAGCUAGUUGGUAAGGUAACGGCUUACCAAGGCAACGAUGCAUAGCCGACCUGAGAGGGUGAUCGGCCACACUGGAACUGAGACACGGUCCAGACUCCUACGGGAGGCAGCAGUAGGGAAUCUUCCGCAAUGGGCGAAAGCCUGACGGAGCAACGCCGCGCGAGUGAUGAAGGUCUUCGGAUCGUAAAACUCUGUUAUUAGGGAAGAACAUAUGUGUAAGUAACUGUGCACAUCUUGACGGUACCUAAUCAGAAAGCCACGGCUAACUACGUG
rnacentral:rRNA from 1 species